rnacentral:ncRNA from 24 species
AGAACGGUCGCUCCCCGAGCCGCCGGGUCUAAGGCUUUUGCGGCGGCCGGCAGGGUGUGCCUGGAAACGGGCAUGCCUCCCGUUGCGGAAAGGGGAGCAGGUCAAACCGGG